GGCCGCAUAGUGUAGUGGAUUUCUGCACGCCUCGUUGUCAGCGAGGAAGUCCGAGUUCGAUUCUCGGUGUGGUCGC
rnacentral:tRNA from 1 species